GUUUAGCCCCGAUUGUAGCGACAUCCUUUUAUGGCAGGGUUUGCCAUAAAAGAUAUAACGGAAAGCGGGAGUAAUG
rnacentral:sRNA from 1 species